rnacentral:rRNA from 1 species
CGUGAGGGAAAGGCGAAAAGAACCCCGGCGAGGGGAGUGAAAAAGAACCUGAAACCGUGUACGUACAAGCAGUGGGAGCACGCUUAGGCGUGUGACUGCGUACCUUUUGUAUAAUGGGUCAGCGACUUAUAUUCUGUAGCAAGGUUAACCGAAUAGGGGAGCCGAAGGGAAACCGAGUCUUAACUGGGCGUUAAGUUGCAGGGUAUAGACCCGAAACCCGGUGAUCUAGCCAUGGGCAGGUUGAAGGUUGGGUAACACUAACUGGAGGACCGAACCGACUAAUGUUGAAAAAUUAGCGGAUGACUUGUGGCUGGGGGUGAAAGGCCAAUCAAACCGGGAGAUAGCUGGUUCUCCCCGAAAGCUAUUUAGGUAGCGCCUCGUGAAUUCAUCUCCGGGGGUAGAGCACUGUUUCGGCAAGGGGGUCAUCCCGACUUACCAACCCGAUGCAAACUGCGAAUACCGGAGAAUGUUAUCACGGGAGACACACGGCGGGUGCUAACGUCCGUCGUGAAGAGGGAAACAACCCAGACCGCCAGCUAAGGUCCCAAAGUCAUGGUUAAGUGGGAAACGAUGUGGGAAGGCCCAGACAGCCAGGAUGUUGGCUUAGAAGCAGCCAUCAUUUAAAGAAAGCGUAAUAGCUCACUGGUCGAGUCGGCCUGCGCGGAAGAUGUAACGGGGCUAAACCAUGCACCGAAGCUGCGGCAGCGACGCUGAUGCGUUGUUGGGUAGGGGAGCGUUCUGUAAGCCUGUGAAGGUGUGCUGUGAGGCAUGCUGGAGGUAUCAGAAGUGCGAAUGCUGACAUAAGUAACGAUAAAGCGGGUGAAAAGCCCGCUCGCCGGAAGACCAAGGGUUCCUGUCCAACGUUAAUCGGGGCAGGGUGAGUCGACCCCUAAGGCGAGGCCGAAAGGCGUAGUCGAUGGGAAACAGGUUAAUAUUCCUGUACUUGGUGUUACUGCGAAGGGGGGACGGAGAAGGCUAUGUUGGCCGGGCGACGGUUGUCCCGGUUUAAGCGUGUAGGCUGGUUUUCCAGGCAAAUCCGGAAAAUCAAGGCUGAGGCGUGAUGACGAGGCACUACGGUGCUGAAGCAACAAAUGCCCUGCUUCCAGGAAAAGCCUCUAAGCAUCAGGUAACAUCAAAUCGUACCCCAAACCGACACAGGUGGUCAGGUAGAGAAUACCAAGGCGCUUGAGAGAACUCGGGUGAAGGAACUAGGCAAAAUGGUGCCGUAACUUCGGGAGAAGG